UUUAGGCUUAGGCUUAGGCUUAGGCUUUAGCCUAGUUUUAGGCUUAGGCUUAGGCUGUGGCUUAGGCUUAGGCU
ensembl:ncRNA Y61A9LA.13 ncRNA